GGAGAACAGGCCGGAAGGCGCCCAACGGGCCGCAGGCUCCGCGGCCCCCACCUUAUAGCCAGCUUUUUCCAAGAGCCACAUGCGGUGGGUGGGGUAAUGGAAUUCCGAAUUCCGCAGGGCCGAGAGGGUCCAAAUCCCGUCUCAGAUGGGAGUGCUCGGCGGAGCGGGGCUGGGCGAGGAGCGCAGAGGAGUCAGAGGAGCUCCAGCACCACCUCCAGCCUUCAGUGACUGUCUGGAGCAGGCAUCCGGAUGGAAGAGAAGGGGGACAACCAUGAACUUGGUGACCCACGGUCAGCCUGAUUUCCCUUGUGGACACAUUUAUGCCCAGUGUGCAUUCCUCCUGAGGUCUGUUCCAAGUCUGGAGGCAGCAGAGUAGAGUGGAGAGAACAGUGGACUUGGAAUCUCACCUCCCAGAUUAGAGUCCUGGAUCUGACUUUGAUUGCUGGUGCUGCCUCGGGCAAGUUACUUUAGCUGUGUGCAUCUCCAUUUCCCCAUGGAUAGAACAUGGGUUUUGGGUAGAAGUGUCUGAUAGCUGUACUGUGCUUUACGGUUCAUGAGCACGCACACAUAGGCCCAUAAUAUCAUAUCUCUGGUCACCCUGGCAGGUAGAUAUUAUUGCCCCAGGUUUCAGGUAAGAAGACUAAAGACCAGGGGUCA
rnacentral:lncRNA from 1 species